GUCUAUGGCCAUACUACCCUGGAUGUGCCCAAUCUUGUCUGAUAUCUAAAACCAGGCAGGGUCAGGUCUGUUUAGUACUUGAAUGAGAGGCCUCCUGGAAAUAUUGGGUUCUGUAGGCU
rnacentral:rRNA from 1 species